CCUUCCGUUUUGUACCGAACUUUCACCAAAGUAUUUAAUCAAGAAUCAAUUAAUUGUGACAUUGAGGUGUUAAAUUGAAUAAACUUGUUUGUAAGAACACAAAUCCUGCGAACGCAUAUUGCUGGCAAUUACUGUACUGCUGUUGCAUACAUUAUUUCAUUCAAAUCAAAAGCUCCCGUACGUAGACGUGUAAUCAUAUCCAAUGCAUUGCAUUGGAAACGCGCCCAUUAUCGUGCGCCUAUCUGCUCGUCCGCGGUUUGGACGACUAAUUGCCGACGCAUCAAAAUGCACUCAGUCCGUUCGCGGGUCGUUCGUUCAGUUCGUUCGCGGGUCGUAUUGAAAAAAGUGCCGAGAGAGUUACCGAAAAAAGUGUGUCAUCCAGUGUCCAGUGUAGAACAUCGUCGUGGAAGUUUUCACCGGAAAAUCCAUCAAGACGUCUUCGAGUUAUGCGAAAACGAACAGAGACCAUUUAAUUGUGGACAAAUUCUAGUGCUUUACCGCAGUGUUUCCUGUUGUGCGGUAACCAAGUAUCGGUGAUAGGACUUAAUACCAACUUUUAAUCGGAUACUCUGGGCUUGGCAUCUAUUGAGUGUGAGUAUUUAGUAGUAAAUAAUUUGUUGAGGAUACUUGUAUUAUGGUAUUUAUAAAUAAAAAUGUUUUAUUUAAUAUUACAUGUAAAUGCUUCGAAAAGCCCGAAAUUCAUGUACUCACCUAUACCACAUUUUUUUUUUUACUGCUCCGAUGCUCCAGGGAAUUUAAUUAAUUUGUCCGAGUUUUUUGUUCAUUAUGACUGAUUUUUUUGUCCUUUUUCGCACAUUUAAAGUUUUUAUUCUGAUGUGCACAAUCAUAGUUUUCUUCACUUUUUACACAUUUUGGAUGUGAAUUUCAUUUCACUAAGUUUUUUUUUUUGAACUUUCUCACUUUGAAAUUCAACCAUUCUGUCUUCUCGAUUUUUUAUAACUACUAGACAGUUCGAAACGGCGUUUCCAUUGCCAAAUUUUAGCGGUUACCGCUGUCACCAAUUGCACGAGCUCGAGCGGUUAGUUUUCUGGAAAACAGUCAUCACAAUUUGAAAAAUAAAACACUUGAACAAUUCUGAUGUGACUUGCUAAC